rnacentral:rRNA from 1 species
GGUGACUGCGUACCUUUUGUAUAAUGGGUCAGCGACUUAUAUUCUGUAGCAAGGUUAACCGUAUAGGGGAGCCGGAGGGAAACCGAGUCUUAAUUGGGCGUUAAGUUGCAGGGUAUAGACCCGAAACCCGGUGAUCUAGCCAUGGGCAGGUUGAAGGUUGGGUAACACUAACUGGAGGACCGAACCGACUAAUGUUGAAAAAUUAGCGGAUGACCUGUGGCUGGGGGUGAAAGGCCAAUCAAACCGGGAGAUAGCUGGUUCUCCCCGAAAGCUAUUUAGGUAGCGCCUCGUGAAUUCAUCUCCGGGGGUAGAGCACUGUUUCGGCUAGGGGGUCAUCCCGACUUACCAACCCGAUGCAAACUGCGAAUACCGGAGAAUGUUAUCACGGGAGACACACGGCGGGUGCUAACGUCCGUCGUGAAGAGGGAAACAACCCAGACCGCCAGCUAAGGUCCCAAAGUCAUGGUUAAGUGGGAAACGAUGUGGGAAGGCCCAGACAGCCAGGAUGUUGGCUUAGAAGCAGCCAUCAUUUAAAGAAAGCGUAAUAGCUCACUGGUCGAGUCGGCCUGCGCGGAAGAUGUAACGGGGCUAAACCAUGCACCGAAGCUGCGGCAGCGACACUCAGGUGUUGUUGGGUAGGGGAGCGUUCUGUAAGCCUGCGAAGGUGGCCUGUGAGGGUUGCUGGAGGUAUCAGAAGUGCGAAUGCUGACAUAAGUAACGAUAAAGCGGGUGAAAAGCCCGCUCGCCGGAAGACCAAGGGUUCCUGUCCAACGUUAAUCGGGGCAGGGUGAGUCGACCCCUAAGGCGAGGCCGAAAGGCGUAGUCGAUGGGAAACGGGUUAAUAUUCCCGUACUUGGUGUUACUGCGAAGGGGGGACGGAGAAGGCUAUGUUGGCCGGGCGACGGUUGUCCCGGUUUAAGCGUGUAGGUGUGUGUUCCAGGUAAAUCCGGUUCACUUUAACACUGAGGCGUGAUGACGAGGCACUACGGUGCUGAAGCAACAAAUGCCCUGCUUCCAGGAAAAGCCUCUAAGCAUCAGGUAACAUCAAAUCGUACCCCAAACCGACACAGGUGGUCAGGUAGAGAAUACCAAGGCGCUUGAGAGAACUCGGGUGAAGGAACUAGGCAAAAUGGUGCCGUAACUUCGGGAGAAGGCACGCUGACACGUAGGUGAAGUGAUUUACUCAUGGAGCUGAAGUCAGUCGAAGAUACCAGCUGGCUGCAACUGUUUAUUAAAAACACAGCACUGUGCAAACACGAAAGUGGACGUAUACGGUGUGACGCCUGCCCGGUGCCGGAAGGUUAAUUGAUGGGGUCAGCGCAAGCGAAGCUCCUGAUCGAAGCCCCGGUAAACGGCGGCCGUAACUAUAACGGUCCUAAGGUAGCGAAAUUCCUUGUCGGGUAAGUUCCGACCUGCACGAAUGGCGUAAUGAUGGCCAGGCUGUCUCCACCCGAGACUCAGUGAAAUUGAACUCGCUGUGAAGAUGCAGUGUACCCGCGGCAAGACGGAAAGACCCCGUGAACCUUUACUAUAGCUUGACACUGAACAUUGAGCCUUGAUGUGUAGGAUAGGUGGGAGGCUUUGAAGCGUGGACGCCAGUCUGCGUGGAGCCGACCUUGAAAUACCACCCUUUAAUGUUUGAUGUUCUAACGUGGACCCGUAAUCCGGGUUGCGGACAGUGUCUGGUGGGUAGUUUGACUGGGGCGGUCUCCUCCUAAAGAGUAACGGAGGAGCACGAAGGUUGGCUAAUCCUGGUCGGACAUCAGGAGGUUAGUGCAAUGGCAUAAGCCAGCUUGACUGCGAGCGUGACGGCGCGAGCAGGUGCGAAAGCAGGUCAUAGUGAUCCGGUGGUUCUGAAUGGAAGGGCCAUCGCUCAACGGAUAAAAGGUACUCCGGGGAUAACAGGCUGAUACCGCCCAAGAGUUCAUAUCGACGGCGGUGUUUGGCACCUCGAUGUCGGCUCAUCACAUCCUGGGGCUGAAGUAGGUCCCAAGGGUAUGGCUGUUCGCCAUUUAAAGUGGUACGCGAGCUGGGUUUAGAACGUCGUGAGACAGUUCGGUCCCUAUCUGCCGUGGGCGCUGGAGAACUGAGGGGGGCUGCUCCUAGUACGAGAGGACCGGAGUGGACGCAUCACUGGUGUUCGGGUUGUCAUGCCAAUGGCACUGCCCGGUAGCUAAAUGCGGAAGAGAUAAGUGCUGAAAGCAUCUAAGCACGAAACUUGCCCCGAGAUGAGUUCU